rnacentral:rRNA from 1 species
UACAGAGGUCCCGAGCGUUGUUCGGAUUUACUGGGCGUAAAGGGCGCGUAGGCGGCGCGGUAAGUCACUUGUGAAAUCUCUGAGCUUAACUCAGAACGGCCAAGUGAUACUGCAGUGCUAGAGUGUGGAAGGGGCAAUCGGAAUUCUUGGUGUAGCGGUGAAAUGCGUAGAUAUCAAGAGGAACACCUGAGGUGAAGACGGGUUGCUGGGCCAACACUGACGCUGAUGCGCGAAAGCCAGGGGAGCAAACGGG